GGAUUUCUUUUCCCACCCAGAAUUUCAUGGAAGAAAAAAAAAAAAAGAUAAGUAAAAAGAGUGACAGCAACAGCAACAAAACCCUCUGCAAUACCCCACAGAAGCUUGCAGCCAACUCCAGGAAAUAAUUUUGCACCAGCCUCAAUGUGAUUAUGACUCUCGAUGCAAAGACCUGUUUUUUCCAUGAUGCUGAAUCGUGGUUUCAGUUGUAUUAGCUGGUAGUCUUAUGUGCUCAUCUGCUGGUUGCUUGUGGACCUCUCUCCUUCCUGAAGACAGUGGCCAGGGAUGGGUUCCUGUUAGUUUCCUAACCUGAGCCAUCCCCACAGCCCUUCUGUCUUGUGUUUAUAGAGUAAGAAAUUGACACUUACUUCUUAAGUAGACUCCAAUUUCUUGGCCUUAACUUCCUACAUUAAAUUCCCAAUUUUAAUUCACAGAUUUCUGUUUGCAUGCAUGUUUGAGCUUGAAAGUAUAGAAAUAGGACAUUUUAAAUGACUUCCAGAGAAGGGAACAUAAAUGAAAUAAUACUUACUAUCUUUCUAAACCACAGAAUGACAAGCAAUUGAAAAAUAAAUGCCAAGUUGGCAAAGUUAUACAGGUUCUGGAGAUGAUGUGUAUGCUGUGUACGUGUUUUGAUGGUGAUGCUGGUGAUGAAGGAGGUGGGAGUUGCCAGUAUCAAGGGUUUUGUCCAACACGAGUGCUGAACGUCAUUUUUCUUUUUCUCGUUUUUAAACUUCAAGGGAACUGACUUGCAUUCUUUUAUUCAGAUCAAAAACUCUAGGAAAAUUAAGAAACAGACUUAUUUAAAAAUAUAUCUCUAAGUGCAGCUAAAUUAUACAUGAGACAUGUGCCUUCUAUAGAAUUUAGAACUUCAGUGUCAACACCAGAUUUCUACGUGUGAAAGUUGUUACUACCUGAUUGCUAGAAGGAACAACUUCAAUUCAGUGUUUGGAAUUUUAGUGAAUUAAAGGCACCCAGAACGAUUUACCUAUGUGGACAGAUGUUCUAUAAGGAACAUCAAAGAACCACGGUAAGCAUCCAGUGUUAUUAUACAGUGUUAGUAUUCAGGAUUUAAGCUCAUAAUUCACACAUGUUGUUUACUACUAGGGAAGAGAUAAGUGUCUGAAGCAGUGUGAUUGACAGCUACGCAUUCACCUGAAUUCCUUAACCUUAGGAGCUGACAUCAAGGACUGGGAAACUCUGAUCUAAUGGAGUUCAGAGUGAUGCUAAUGUGUUUGCAUAGAGGGAUGGAGGUUGGGCUUGACCUUGGUGAUCACUGUUUGGGGCUUAGACAGUACUUUACUUUCAGCCAGACCUCUCUGUCUUAAAUAGGUACUCACCAAUUUUUUUUUCUAUAUAGCCAUAUUUUAGGAAAAUUUUUGGCAUAAUGAAGUUUACAGAUUAUCAUAAAACAAAUUACAGGUAUGCCAUUCUAUAAAUUGCUGUUUUAUGAAUAUAUAGUUUUCCCCAAACUAGUUUUAUCGUCAUAUCCAUCUUUAGUUGCAGUGAACCAUGACUGUGACCUUCCAUUCUAUUGAAGGAAAAAGAAACUCAAGAGUUCUUUCAUUCUUUCUCAGCUGUUUCUUCUUGGACUUUGCCUAUGAAUGUCCUGGUGAGGUUUGUAAAACCAUGUUUGUUAAUUAUGGUUCAUUCUGAGAAACAGAAAGUGAAAUGUGUCCAAAGCAUACACUGAGACUGGAGAGAGCUAAGGAUUUGAAAAGCCUCCUUCUCAGAAGCGAUUCCCAUUCUAUCACAGUUGCCUAUGGCAGACCUGAUUGUAAUUUUAGCUUUCACGAAGGGGCAUUUGUUAAAAACAAAGCAGAGAUGCAGAUGCUGGCAUUGUGCUCCUCUCUCGAUUCCCAAAUGAUGGCCGUCAGGACAGUGAAGCCGUUAGAGCCUAGAGCAAGGAGUCUUGUGGUCAGAGCUGCAGGUAGGACUAGGAAAAGGAGAAGAGACAGAUGAGCAAGUCAGUAGAGUAGUUGUGUGUGCUUUAGUCCACAGGCUGUAGCCAAAUCCAUCUCUAGAGCUUAAUUUCAGGAUGUUAUUGAUUUAGAGUCUGAGAUCAGAAGUUAAACUAAAAGACUUUUGAUGUAUCAGUAUAGUAGAAAAAUGAGGAGUGUUAGUAUAUAAGAUUGAAAACAAAAAUACAAGGAAAAGCCCUUAGGUUUCAAAAGUAAAACACACACACACACACACACACAAAUAAGAGCAAAACAAAUUCCAUUUUGUAUAAUAGUUUUUAAGACAAAAGCCACACAUUUUACAUAAUUCUAUUUUUUCCUAAGGGAAUGAGAAAAAAAUAACUCAGUUAUUUUUGAAGCAUAUAGUAAUAAUUAUACUGUACUUGUAACUGAGAAUAUACAUUCAGAUGUAUCAAUCAAUAGAUACAUCAGAUUGCUAGAGAUCUUAGAACCUUGGAGCAUAAACAAAUUCAUGUUCACAAAUAUGUAUAUAAUAUACACAUCCUUUGGACUUACAAGACCCUGUGAAAUCCCGUUAGUAGUAAAUCAAAAGAACUUCAUUUUUAAUUUGUAAAAUAUAUAUAGUUUCCCCCAAACUAGUUUACAGGAACUGUAUAUCAUCAUAUCCAUCUUUAGUUGCAGUGAACCAUGGCUGUGACCUUCCAUUCUAUUGAAGGAAAAAGAAACUCAAGAGUUCUUUCAUUCUUUCUCAGCUGUUUCUUCUUGGACUUUGCCUAUGAAUGUCCUGGUGAGGCAAAGCUUAAAGCACUUGGCAAGAUAGAAUCAUUACAGAAACAACACAAAAGGAAUCAAAAAGAAAUUAAGAACUCAAAGCACAGGAGAUGUUUGACUCUAGAUUGCCCGUCUGCACCAGAGAGCUGUGUGGGUGGCUGGAAGGUCACUGUUCUCCAUUAAGGUCAGAUCCAGGAAACCUCUCUUUGUUUUCCUUAUUUCUCCAGUGCUAAGAAUUGAACCCAAAGUAUUUCUGAUUAUCGAAAAAUCUCCUAAUUUGAACAAGAAGAAAUGAAGUUUUGCCUUUUUCUGAAUACUGGGAAUUGAAUCCCUAAGUCUUUUUAUCUAUUGGAAAACUUUCCUAUAUGCAUACAGAGAAUCAAAGUUAUUCUAGGGCCAGUGUUUCCUUGUGUCAGUUCAGCGACUACAGACAUCCAAACAGUUUGAUUUUAUGUGCAUCUGUCCCACAAAUUGUGGGGUUCUCUGUAACCACCACAGCCCAUGGGAAGCAAGAAAGCAGUUUGACUCCACAGCACUAAGUCACAGGUCUGACCCUGAGUGUCAUAUUUUAGGCAUAUUUAAGAACAGUACAGUUUGGCGGACACUUUUGUGGUGCUAAUUAACUCAUGCAUCAAUCUCCUGGAAGGACAAAGUCAGCUAAAUGAGGAUCACAUGUAAGUAACUACAGGGAAAGUCCUGAUAAGCCCAAGUCACACCAGACAUAAAGAUGGGUGGUGUAGAUUGACACCGAAAAACAACUUGGUGAUAAGGGUCUGGGGGAGGGCCCAAUGUGGGCGCCAACUACGCAGUUAGCACAAAGGUCACCAGGAUAAAAUGCACAUCCGCUCCCAGCCUUCUGGGCAGAUUGUAGGUUAUGCCUUCCUCCUCUUGAAUGAACAGCCCUGUGUGUAAAAGUCCCAGGUCCCCUUAGUGCUUAUCUGUGAGCACAGGGUCCUCUAUGCUUCCUAUUCAAAAAUCUGGUACCUCUCUGAAAUUCUUUCACAGCCUUCUCAAACCAUAUUCAACUAGUCCAAACUUUCUCUUCUUCCUGGUCUUACCUCUCUUUCAUUAUUUUCGACCACAGACAUCUAUUUGGGGGGCAGGGGAAUACCAAUUCCUUCUGGGUUUUUGUCAAUGUGUUUUCAUAUUUUAUAAUAUCCUUAUAAAUCCCUAUAAAACACGUCAUGCUUUAUUCCCAUACUGAAUUGUUUCCCUUCAUUACAUACAAUGAAUCUCUAAGAAUAUAAGCUUUCUACCUCACAUUUUAUAGUGUUUUAGCUUCUUUAAAACUGAGACACUCUUUCUAGAUAAGC
rnacentral:lncRNA from 1 species